GCUGUUAACAAUUACUCCACUGACACAGCUAUCUCAGUGAAGGUCCCUGUUUCAUUAGUACCAGAAGUUCAGGGAUUCUUCAGGUAGAUAAACUGCAUAUUGUUAGUCGUUUACAAAAUAUUAUAAAUAUUACAUCAAUAGAUAAAUAAUGCUAUUCUAAUUAUAUUAAAGUAUUUAUAUCAUCUGGCCUUAUUUUCGAAAUUUCAUAGUUCA
rnacentral:lncRNA from 1 species